UCGGGCGUGGUGUACGGAACACCGCGGGCUUUCAUUGCUAAGACGAGCAGCGGCAGCUCGCAGGCCGGGGUUCGACUCCCCGCGCCCGAA